CUACGGGAUGCAGCAGUGAGGAAUAUUGCACAAUGGGGGGAACCCUGAUGCAGCAACGCCGCGUGGAGGAUGACGCAUUUCGGUGUGUAAACUCCUUUUAUAUGUCAAGAAAAUGACGGUAGCAUAUGAAUAAGCACCGGCUAACUCCGUGCCAGCAGCCGCGGUAAUACGGAGGGUGCAAGCGUUACUCGGAAUCACUGGGCGUAAAGGACGCGUAGGCGGGCUUGUAAGUCAGGUGUGAAAUCCUACAGCUUAACUGUAGAACUGCACUUGAAACUACGAGCCUAGAGUAUGGGAGGGGCAGAUGGAAUUAGUGGUGUAGGGGUAAAAUCCGUAGAUAUCACUAGGAAUACCUAAAGCGAAGGCGAUCUGCUGGAACAUAACUGACGCUAAGGCGUGAAAGCGUGGGGAGCAAACAGGAUUAGAUACCCGAGUAGUC
rnacentral:rRNA from 1 species